CUCGUAGGCGGCCAACUAAGUCAGACGUGAAAUCCCUCGGCUUAACCGGGGAACUGCGUCUGAUACUGGUUGGCUUGAAUCCGGGAGAGGGAUGUGGAAUUCCAGGUGUAGCGGUGAAAUGCGUAGAUAUCUGGAGGAACACCGGUGGCGAAGGCGGCAUCCUGGACCGGAAUUGACGCUGAGGAGCGAAAGCCAGGGGAGCAAACG
rnacentral:rRNA from 1 species